AGAAGACCAUUAUGAUGUACUGGUAACCACUCACACUGCUAUCAAAAUAAAAGAAAAACCCUCCUAGACUCACACAAACCAUGCCAAGUUAGACCAGGAUUAGCACUCCCAGGACAACUGGAAGACCACCCCUUAAGUUGACCUUAAGAUCACGCAAAAGAACUUGAAAUUAAUUUUUAUUCCUGCCAAUAAGACCAACUGGUGGACCAACUCUGGAAAAUGGAUGCAUGACAGGGUAUGGCAUCCAUGACGAGAAAAACACAUCACUUCUCUUUUUGAUAGACUCUUGGCUGCUAAUCCAAUUCUUCCUUCCAGUGCCACAAAUUCAGCUUUUUAAGAAACUUUCAGAGGAAAUGAAGGAGUUCAGAGCAUGUCACCCCAAAAUAUGCUGUCUUAGCAUAUUGAUUAUUUUAAGUUAAAGGAGCUUGAGGAACAGCAGGUACAAGAGGGGCACUCUGACCUUCCUUAUUCUUCCUGGCAGGAGAUAAAACUCCCAUGUCAAAGAUCCCCUCCCUCUACCAGGAGGAAGAAAAUCAUUCCCCUCACCAGAGAUGGGGAAUCACGCUGAGAAAUCUGUACAAACAAGACUUGUUACACUAAUGCUUAUCCUCCUAGUCGUUUCUCCACAGUUUACUACCCCUGGCCCAAACUCCUUGGCCUUACUUGGUUCUUUGUCUAAAAGAUAUAAAAGCGUUCUGUUCUGGUCACUUCUUCAAGUCUUCAUUCUCUUGUGAAGGUUGUCAUGUACAUGUAAAAAAAUAAUAAUAAUAAAACUUGUAUGCCUUUCUCCUGUU